CCCCUAGACGUUCUGGGCUGCACGCGCGCUACAAUAAUACGCACAGCGAGUAUCACCGAGCUCGAAAGGGCAAGGUAAACAAUAGAAAAGGUACUGUAAUGGUUAUAGAUCCUUGUAAUUAUUGAUCUUCAACGAGGAAUUCCUAGUAAGUAUGUGUCAUCAUCACGCACUGAUUACGUCCCUGCCCUUCGUACACACCGCCCGUCGCUCCUACCGAUUGGGUGAGCCGAUGAAACUCUCGGAUGUAGGCUAUUCAUAGCCCGCAGAAGAGAUUUGAAUCGUAGCGCUUAGAGGAAGGAGAAGUCGUAACA
rnacentral:rRNA from 1 species